rnacentral:lncRNA from 1 species
UUUUGAAGAAAGGAGAUGAGAGGCCUCAAGGGCAUAAGGUUUGGAAAGUGUGAGGUGGGUUUAGUCAUUUUGCAAAAAUAAAGUCCAAGAAAGGUUAAGAUUCAUUGAAAGUUUUACUUAAGAAAAUAAAAGGGAAAAUAAGGAGUUUUGACUCCAUUUUAUUUUCAAAAAAAGGUUUUCAAGUGAAGUUAUUUGCAUGUUUUUUGGAAAAAAGUUGGAUUUUUAUCUAAGUGUUCAAACCUAAACGCUUAUCUAACCAUACAAUCCUAUGCAUACAUCUAAGGUGAGUGUGUGCGUGUCGGUGCGUCAUAGUGUCCAUAGUCCAUAUUACAGAAAUUGCCUAAAUACAUUCUAUGGCCCCUUUGCCAAGCUACAAACCAAUGAUAACAAAUUACAUUACCAAAUGAAUUAAAACUUGCAAAAAAUAAAUGCUAGGCUAAAGAAAGUGGAGGGAAUGCUAAAUGAGAUGCAUGAAACAUGGAAAUAAACUUGUUAGUGAAAUAAAGCAUAAAGAGUAGCAAGAGGCAAAAACGCAUAAAAUGCCAUAAAGAUAGUAAUAAAAUGGUAAUAAAAACCCAAAAUUUUGAUAUGAAACCUAAGGCAUUUGUAGCUUCUAAUUCUCAUGCUAUAGCAAGUUUGAAAAUAGUUUCUUUUAUCUCAAGCUAUAAACAUAGGAUCAUUAGAAACAAACAAGCUUAGCUUCAUACCAAUUUUGAGAUAGAAUUAUCAUCUUAUUACCCUCUUUUAGAAUAUGCAUACAUUGCUCAUACAAUCAAGGUUUCAUGAAUCAAUCUAAAACAGCAAAGUAAACAUAAGAUUGUAGGCAUGAGCACCUCUCAUUAACAUGUCAAAUGGCAUUUAUCACGUAUUCACAAAUCAAUGAUAGAAUUGACAAAAUAAUCAUAAGAAAUAAUCCAAGAAAAAAUUAAAAUGCCAUGGAUUAAUCAUACAAAAAUUUUGCCAAUUCCAGCGUGCAAAAAUACCGUAAAACAUCAAGAAAAUGUCAAGAAGUAAGCAUGGAUUUUCUAGGAAAUUUAUCAAGAUUUUUAAUCAAGACAUUGGUUCAAAUAGCAAAGAAAAACAGUGCAAAUAGUGAAAAAAGCAGAAAAACGUGAAAGAAAACUGAGGCCCAAACCAAAACCCAAAACAGACUGGACCUGGAUCAUCCAAAGGCCUCAGAGGCGUUGGAUUGAUCCGGAUCCAGAUCUAACGGUUCAAAACACGCAGCGCAUGGUAACGUAAAUCAAGCAUACAGCAACAACGCAUCACAGCCAUUCAACAAAAGAAACCCUAGAUCCUACGGUUCAAAAUGGAAGCAAAAUAAACCGGACCGGUUCAAACGUCUAUAUAAGGACGUAGACGCCGGUCCAGUCCAUUUCUUCCAUCUCUUUCUCUCUCUACGCUUCCCUCUUCUCUCGCUUCUCUCUAACCCUCACCGCCGGUGAGGAUGAAGCCACGGCGGAGACCUUGAAGGUCCGCCGGAAGCUUCAUCUUCUCCGGCGAGUCCUAUGCACUUUCCGGUGAAAAAUUUCCAGAACUUAAAGAUUUUUACAUCAAACGAUUCGUCCUUCAACCCUAAACACGAAUCCAGCAGCUGUUUUUUCAAAUACGGUUUGAAACGAUGUAGAUCUAAAAAGUUCCGUGCGGUUUUGAAACUGAUUUUUGAUUUUUUUGAAAAGAAAUGUUUAGAUCGUUUAAAGAUCUACAUCGUUUCGUUGUUUGAUUACGCUUCUAGUACUCGUUCUUGCUUUCAAAACUUAGAUCCUUAUGGAUCUAGGUUUCGUGUUUACGGUUACGGUUUUCUUUGAAUUCUGGAAAUUUUUGAUAUGCUUGCUUACGUGAUUGUUUACAGGCUUAAACUAUGAUUAACACUUUUUGAAAAGAGAUUAUGAGUUUUACCUAAGGUUUUGGUUGAAACCUUUAAUGGAGGAAAUCUUUGGAAAACUUUGAUUCUGUUCUUGAUGAUUCUUGAUUCUUCUGCUUGCUUUUGGACCGAAAAUAAAUCGGUUUACCGGUUCAUCUUCAUCUUCUCUGAUUCUUUCUCUGCUUCUCUGUGAUUACGUGCUUGAGCUUGCUUCAAUGUUUCUUAGAUUUACGCGAGGAACCCUGCGAUCAGUGCUUGAGCUUGCUUCAAUGUGAGCUCGCACUUGGAAUUGCAGGAGAAUCUUCAAUCCAGUGAUGAAGAUUCACACGAAUCUCUGAGGAUUGAUGCAGAAAAUGUUAAUUCUGAUGAAAAUUUAGGGUUUCUGGAAAACGGUUAGGGUUUUUGUUCUUGGUGUUCUUGAGAAAUUCUGAGAAUUUUCUGUUUUGAUUCAAUUGCUGAGAGAGAGAAAGUUGGAAUUGUGUUUAUGAGUUGGCGUGUGGUUAAUGGCUUUGAAUCUGACUCACUGUUUAUAUAGUUGACAUGUGUACACUUGAGCCAAUGGAAUUGUGACACGUACCCUGGACUUGCUCACUUGGGCGCUGCUUGCUAUUUUUACUUAAGGACCAAUCUGCAAAUUGUGAAAAUGACAAGGACUGGACUGCAAAAUUAAAAAAAAACUUGAAAUGAAAUAAAAAAGCAGUUUGGACAAAAAUGCAAUUUUGGGACCUCAAUUGAGGGACCAAAAUGCAAUUAAAAAUAAAAUUUGAAUAAAAAACAUAAUUUGACCAAACGUAAAGCGAAACACAAAUAAAAUUGACAAAACGGACUAAAACGAACCAAUGGCCUAAAUGAGGUACUUCAAAGUAACCUCCCCAUGCCAAAAUUUCGUGUGAAAUGACCAAAAUGCCCCUAGGGUUAAAAAUGAACUAAACAGAAUCAAAUUAACUCGACACUGACUCAGAUGCAAGUUUGAAAUGAACUUAACAAGGUUUACUGAUGAAAUGUAAAAAAACCAAUCUGAAAAGACUCAGAGACAGUCACAAGGAUGAAAAUGGGUCCCACUGCAGGAAAUGACCAAAAUACCCUUCUGUAUGACUUUUUGCAACUUUUGAAAUAAACUGUAGAAAAAGCAAUGUAAUGAUUCAGAGACACUUUUGAAUGACUUACAAGACAAGUAAAGACAUUUCGAAAGGUUUUAUGCAAGAAAAACAUAGGUAAAAUUGUGAUUGAAAAUACUGCGAGGCAGAGACAAAUUGAACUGUGCAGUUGAAAUUUGAUAAUUGACAAAGUUUGAAAUGAAAUUGGGCCCAGUAUUUUUAGGUCCAAAAACAGGGUAUAACAGCUGCCCCUAUUUAAGUUUCUUUGUCUGGAGAGUCAAGAGACGGAGUCUUUGGCUUGACAGGACGAAGAUACUUAAAUAUUAGCAUUUGCACUGUGUUUGGACGUAAAAAUACGCCUACCCAUUUUCAAAUAAUAUGCAUGCCAUGCAUCAUUUGGAUUAUGAAUGCAAGACCUCAUGGGGAUUGGAAUUAACAAAAUAUGUCGUAUCCAUUGCGGGAUUGGUGGACAUUGACAAAGAUAGUGAAUAGCAGAGUAACGGGAAACUAGAAACAAGUUGGACAGGUACAAGCUGUUCUUGGAUUCAAACUAGCCACUUGACCGGGGAUGAAACAAACAGACAACUGCGAGUUGUUCUUAUGGAUUCGAACUGGUCACUUCACAGGGGAUAGAGGUUACUGGACAAACAUGAGUUGUUCUUAUGGAUUCGAACUGGUAACUCACUUGGGGAUAUUGGAAAGUGCGAGUUGUUCUUAUGGAUUCGAACUGGUGACCCGACUGGAAAAAAGAGAAAAUUGGCAAGUACGAGUUGUUCUUAUGGAUUCGAACUGGUGACUCGACUGAAAGCAAGGCAAAUAGACAGGUGCGAGCUUGUUCUUGGAUGCGAACUGGUUACUCCACCGGAGACAAAUACAAAAUAGACAGGCGCAAGCUGCUCUUGGAUCGAGCUAGCCACUUGAGCGAACAGAAACAGAUAGACGGGUACAAGCUGCUCUUGGAUUGAGCUAGUCACUUGACUGAACGGAAACAUAUCGACAGGUACAAGCUGCUCUCGGAUUGAGCUGGGCACUCGACCGAUAACAUAAGCAAAUUGAUAGGUACAAGCUGUUCUUGGACUUGAACUAGCCACUUGACCAAACAGAAACAUAUUCACUGAGGAUUGGUUUGUUUUGACAAAAUAUAGAUUGAGAUUGACUUAACGUUGAUUCGAUUUGAAAGGUAGAAAUUGACCGGUAUUAUUGGCUUACAAGGUUUUGACAGAGAACCUGACAUGAGUUUUGAAUUGAGACUGAUAUUGUUAUUGGAAAUGCGAUAUGCAUGGAUGAUAUAACAGUUUUAUUAAAUGCAUGGGCACGUAAUAUGCAUGAUUAUGCAUGUAUGAAUGCUUGUAAUGCAUGACUGUUGGCAUUUUGUAGGCACGACUUCACGGGGAAGACAAGACAUCAGAGUAUUGGGCACGUAGUGGCCCGUGCUAUAUUACACAUUCUUGGAAAUCCUCUUUGGAGAUGACGUCGUUGGGAGACGUAUUGGAACCAUGGCUGAGGGCAGGUAGGUAUGCCACUUGCUGGGGAUAGAAUCUUGAGAGACUUUACUGGGGAUAAUGCCGGAUGUAUCGUGGACAUCGCAUCUGUGGUCAAUGCUUUUUGCAUGUUAUUUUCUCAAUUUCAUUCAUUCAUUUUUUGCAUCCCAUUUUUGCCUGGAUCGCCCUUUCGGGUUUUCGAUCCACCGGGGAAAUAAAUUCUUUUCAAUGCCCCAUUUUUGCCUGAACUGCCCUUUCGGGUUGUCAAUCCAGCGGGGUGCUCAUUUUUGCCUAAGCCGCCCUUCCGGGUUUUCAACUUAGCGAGCUCAUUUAUUUUCAUGCAUUUUCAUUCUGUUUUUUCAUUCUUGCCAUUGACCACAGACUAUCCUGAAGGAGAACCUGCUUGUAGCAUAUAUUGAAAUAGACAUUCACAUACCCUCGCUCAUGCAUGUUUCAUUUGAUUGUACCCUGUUGCUCAGGUUUGCUUUUCAAAAUAGACAAAAAGUUUUCAAUUUUCAAAAAAUGUUUGUUUCAAGCAUUGUCAUUAUCAAAAUAGAAAGAAAAUGUUUUGUAUAUAGCUUUGAAAGUAGAAGAAAAUAGAAUUUCAAACAAAAGCACAAGCUCAAAUUGAUGUAUAAGAGUGGUGGUCAGCCAAAGGCAUGACUCCACGGAUUCACAAAGCUUGGAAAAUGGUAAUUUUAUUGGUUGGUGGUACAUUGAACACAGUAAUCACUACAGUUCUUAGAAACUUUGAAUUCACAAGUACAGAAGCUUCAGAUGAAGACGGUCAUUAAUAGCUGCAGAUGCCCCAAGGGGGACGGUGGUUGGCCGGAUAUAGUUACUUGCCUUUUGUUUCAAUCUCAUUUUUGCAUGAACCGCCCUUCCGGGUUUUCGGCUCAUCGAGACGCUCAUUCUUGCCUGAGUUGUAUACAAUCUCAGCGAGCUUUUCAUAUUUGUUUUUUUUUGUCCCUUAUUUUUGCCUGGACCGCCCUUUCGGGUUUUCGAUCCAUCGGGAAGCGCAUUUUUGCCUAGGCCGCCCUUUCGGGUUUUCGACCUAUCACGCUGUUCUUUUCAUAUUUCUAGGCAAAGUAUUUCUUGACUAUAUCGGCAUUCACUGGAUUUGGAAGUUCUACACCAUCCAUGUGUGUAAGAAUUAAAGCACCACCGGAGAAGGCCUUCUUGACAACAUAAGGACCUUCAUAGUUAGGCGUCCACUUGCCCCUUGGGUCGGGUUGCUGGCUUAUCCUCCUUUUCAAUACAAGUUCCCCUACCUUGAAUUCUCGAGGAUGAACUUUCUUAUCAAAGGCAGUCUUCAUUCUUGCUUGAUAUGAAUGUCCACGAGCCAUGGCAUCCAUACGUUUUUCCUCAAUCAAAUUCAACUGGUCAUACCGGCUCUGGCACCAUUCAGCCUCAGAUAACUUUGCUUCCAUGAUCACACGGAGAGAUGGGAUCUCCACUUCCAAAGGAAGAACCGCUUCCAUACCAUAUACAAGAGAGAAAGGGGUUGCCCCGGUUGAACUGCGCACAGUAGUACGGUAGCCAUGCAGAGCAUAGGGUAACAUCUCAUGCCAGUCCUUGUAAGUGGUUACCAUCUUCUGGACAAUUCUCUUGAUAUUCUUGUUGGCGGCCUCAACUGCACCAUUCAUCUGAGGUCUAUAGGGAGAAGAGUUAUGAUGCUCAAUUUUGAAUUCUUCACAAAGAGCUUGCACCACAUUGUUGUUCAGGUUGGUACCAUUGUCGGUAAUAAUCUUGCUGGGAACACCAUAUCGGCAGAUGAUGUUGUUCUUGAUAAACUUAGCUACCACUUGCUUGGUCACAUUGGUAUAAGAUGCUGCUUCAACCCAUUUGGUGAAGUAGUCAAUUGCCACUAAGAUGAAACGAUGACCAUUUGAAGCCUUCGGUUCAAUUCUUCCAAUCAUGUCGAUGCCCCACAUUGAGAACGGCCAUGGGGAUGACAUAACAUUGAGAGCAUGCGGAGGCACAUGAAUCUUAUCAGCAUAGAUUUGACAUUUGUGGCAUUUUUUGGCGUACUGGUAGCAAUCAUGCUCCAUGGCCAUCCAGUAGUAACCUGCUCGUAAUAACUUCCUUGACAUAGUAUGCCCUGUAGCAUGGGUCCCGAAGGUACCGUCAUGUACAUCAUGCAUUAACUGCUCUGCUUCAUGUUCAUCAACACAUCUUAACAAUACCAUGUCAUAGUUCCUCUUGUACAGAAUAUCUCCAUCUAACAGGAAUCUACCGGCCAAUCUUCUCAAGGUCUUCUUGUCUUGUUUGGAAGCACCUGGCGGAUACUCACGGCUCAGCAAGAACUGCUUGAUGUCAUAGUACCAGGGUCUAUAGUCAACCACAUUUUCACCAGCCUGAUCGAUCACAUCCCCAAUAGCAAACACAUGCGAAGGUCUUUCAAGGCGUUGCACUUUAAUUAUUGGCACAUCAUUCCAAUGGUUUACUUGAAACAUGGAGGAUAGAGUAGCAAGAGCAUCAGCCAUUUGGUUCUCAUCACGAGGAAUAUGGUGCAGCUCAACCUUUGUAAAAUAUGUCAGCAAACGCCUCGCAUAAUCACGAUAAGGAAUCAAUUUAGCAUGAUGUGUCUCCCAUUCACCCUUUAUCUGAUUGAUGACGAGCGCGGAAUCUCCAUAGAUGUCGAGGUGUUUGAUUCUCAUGUCAAUUGCUUCCUCGAUCCCAAAGAUACAUGCUUCGUACUCAGCCAUAUUGUUGGUACAUUCGAACAAAAUUCUGGCGGUAAAAGGAAUGUGAUGCCCCUGCGGGGAUACAAUGACUGCCCCAAUUCCUUUACCAUAAGCAUUGACAGCACCAUCAAAGACUAAACCCCACUUGCUAUUGGGAUCUGGACCUUCAUCAAUCAGCGGUUCUUCGCAGUCUUUUGAUUUCAAAUACAUGAUCUCUUCAUCGGGGAAAUCGAACUCAAUUGGUUGGUAAUCAUCAAGAGGUUGGUAAGCAAGGUGAUCGGCAAGAAUGCUACCUUUGAUUGCCUUUUGAGUUUUGAACACAAUAUCAUAUUCAGACAGAAGCAUCUGCCAUCGUGCAAUCUUUCCAGUAACGGCCGCUUUCUCGAAGAUAUACUUUAUCGGAUCCAUUCUGGAUAUCAACCAAGUUGUAUGAUUCACCAAGUAAUGACGCAGGCGUUUGGCAGCCCAAGCCAAAGCACAACAAGUCUUCUCAAGCAUUGUAUACCGAGUUUCACAAUCGGUGAACUUCUUGCUUAGAUAGUAGAUAGCAUGUUCUUUCUUUCCAGUUUCAUCUUGUUGACCAAGCACGCAUCCCAUGGAUUCAUCAAAUACUGCCAAAUACAUGAUCAAAGGCCUUCCUUCCACGGGAGGGACAAGGAUAGGUGGUUCCAGUAGGUAAUUCUUGAUGCUAUCAAAAGCUUCUUGGCAUUCAUCAUUCCAUACAACAGGCUGGUUCUUUCUAAGUAGCUUGAAGAUCGGCCCGCAGGUUGCAGUCAUAUGAGAUAUGAAUCGGGAGAUGUAAUUCAAACGUCCCAAGAAACCUCUGACUUGCUUCUCUGUCUGUGGAGCUGGCAUUUCUCGGAUGGCCCGGACUUUAUCAGGAUCGACUUCAAUGCCCUUUUGGCUGACAAUGAAGCCUAAUAACUUUCCGGACCUGACACCGAAUGUACAUUUGUUAGGAUUCAAUCGAAGCUUGUAUUUUCUCAACCUUUCAAACAUCUUUGUCAAAUAUUCAACAUGCUGCUCCUCAUCUGCUGACUUCACAAUCAUGUCAUCCACAUAUACCUCAACUUCUUUGUGAAUCAUGUCAUGAAACAGAGUGGUCAUUCCCCUUUGAUAGGUAGCACCAGCAUUGAUUAGGCCGAAUGGCAUCACUUUGUAGCAGAAAGUCCCCCAUGGAGUGAUAAAAGAUGUCUUUUCUCUAUCUUCAGGAGACAUUUUGAUCUGAUUAUAACCAGAAAAACCGUCCAUGAAGGAGAACACCUUAGAUUGAGCAGUAUUAUCAACAAGCACAUCAAUAUGAGGUAAUGGAAAGUUGUCUUUUGGACUGGCUUUGUUCAGGUCUCUAAAGUCAACACACAUCCGGACUUUACCAUCCUUCUUUGGCACGGGCACAAUAUUAGCAACCCAUUCAGGGUACUCAACUGUCAUGAGGAAACCCGCAUCAAUUUGCUUUUGAACCUCGCUCUUAAUCUUGAGAGCCAUAUCAGGAUGAGUCCUUCUCAAUUUCUGCCUGACGGGAGGACAUUCAGGCUUGGUGGGAAUCCGAUGCUCCACGAUCAUAGGGUCUAGACCUGGCAUAUCUUCAUACGACCAUGCAAAAAUAUCCGGAUAUUCCCGGAGGAGUUGGAUAAUCUUCUGUUUAACCCCUUCCUCUAGAGUAGCACCAAUCUUGAUUUCUUGCUUGUUUUCCUCGGUACCUAUGUUGAUAAGCUCAAUCUCUUCCUGGUGAGGCUGAAUGGCUUUCUUUUCUUGCUCAAGUAACCGAGUAAUCUCAUAUGGUAUAUCAUCACCUUCCUUAUCUUCGGCUUCAUACACAGGGAAAUCAAAACUUGGAGGAACCGUAGGAUUACUGUGUUCAACGGGUUUAUUAUGGUUCAGCCUGCAUAUAAUGAUUGGAUGAUUUUAGAAAUAGUUUCUUUUUCAUGCAGAUUUUUGAAAUUAAUAAGAAAAAUACAGACGUUUUGGUUUUUUCUGGCAUUACCAUUGUUUCCAAGGGAAAAACACUUAAAAAAAAAAGUAGUCGUGGAAGAAACGACAAAAUUUUAUUAAUCAACGGCAAUGCCGAAACAAACAUGCCCUUACAGAAAAUAUCACUCUCGCUUUGGGCAGAGCGAGAGGAUUGUUAUUUUGAAAACAAAGCAUUAAAGCAACAAGACACAUUACUCAGAAACAUGCAUGAUUGAAGGAAUGUCAAUGGCAUCCCAAUCUCUCGCAAUGCCUCCUGGUGUAACAAAUACAGGCCUGAGACCAGAUCCAGUGGCUUCUUCAGAGAUAGCAUUAACAAACCCUGCGCUGUGGAAGACUCCCGAGGAAACCCUUGAUGACGGGGAGAACCCGAGACCUUCUUUACGCUUGUUCUCACAGAGCUGUAUCACCUUGCCCCAGCCGGCAGUCUGACCUUCUUGGAUGGCUCUCUGAGCAUCUUUCAAUGAAGCCAUAGCAGCCCCAGCUUCCUUAGGCUCUGCACCUUCAAUGGUCAAACCUUGGAAAGCAGUCCCUUCAGCAGACCCUGCUUCAAUACAAGAGAAAGAAGACAACUGGCUGACUAAGUAUGCUUCUUCACCAUGGAUUGUAACGAGUUUUCCAUUCUUCACAAAUUUCAACUUCUGAUGUAAGGUGGAAGUAACCGCACCUGCAUCGUGUAUCCACGGUCUUCCCAGCAGGCAACUGUAGGAUGCAUUAAUGUCCAUCACUUGGAAAGUAACCAAGAAAUUCUCAGGGCCAAUGGUUAUCGGCAAGUCUAUCUCUCCCAGCACAUUCUUUCGAGAUCCAUCAAAAGCUUUGACCAAGAAAGUACUUCUCCUCAACGGGGUCCCACGGUAGCUCAACUGAUCUAGAGUUGUCUUGGGCAUUACAUUGAGGGAGGAACCGGUAUCCACCAACACAUUUGAUAUCAUGUCUGAUUUACAAUUUACCGAGAUGUGCAAAGCCAGAUUGUGACUCUUUCCCGCUUCCGGCAACUCUUCUUCACUGAACCAGAGGUUGUUACAAGUAGUAAUAUUUCCCACUAUGCCACCAAACCGAUCUACUGUAACUUCGUGGUCAACAUAUGCCUGCUCCAGCACUUUCAACAAAGUAUUCCUGUGAGCCUCGGAGCUCAAGAGUAAUGACAAGACAGAUAUCUUCGAAGGAGUCUGCAGCAACUGAUCAACGAUCUUGUAGUCGCUUCUCUUUAUUAUUCUCAGAAUCUCAUCUAAAUUCGAAUCCUCUAUAGACUUGCCUGGCUGAUUCAUAUUUGUAGCAAUGGGUGAAACAACGGUUGGAGUUGCUUCUUCAACUUGUGGAGUGAUUGGCGUAGCUACCUUCUUCUGAAAUAAUGGCGGACGAACCUUCCCGCUUCUUAGUGCUGCAGAAGUCCCUUCGGCAAUAUUGCUUACUGUGGCAAAGGAGGCUAGAGGCACCUCUACUCCAUUUUCUAUCAUAGUAGCAUUGUACUUGUAUGGCACUGCCUUGUCCGAAACAUAAGGAAUUGGUCCUGGCAACCUUAUCACCAAAGGCUCAGCACACUUCUUCGAAGGUACACUCUUGACAGGCGGAUCGUGAAAAACUGGCACGACCACGCAAACAUCACUGACAGUCAGAAGAUUAUCAUCCAUCAAGCUUUGGAUGUCGUCUUGAACAGCAUGGCAACCCAAAGGAUCACGGAGGCAUCCUAGACACUUGGCAUGCUCAUGGCUGAACAGAGAAGCUUUGCACAGCUUGAUGUGCAGAGGCACCAGAGGAGUUGCGACAUUGCGGACAUCAAGUCUAGGAGCUUCCUCACAUACUUCGAUCAUAUUCACAGCGGCAUGAUUUGGUAGCGGAUUGUCGAGGACAUGUGGAACAUUAUUCUCAAAAGUCAGCUUUCCCUGAUCAAUGAGCUUCUUCACGAUAUACUUCAAAGCAUAACACCCCUCGACAUCAUGACCUAAGGCACCUUGAUGAAAAUCACAUUUAAGAUCAGAGCGGAACCUUGGAGGUAAAGGGUCCGGUGGAGGCUUGCCCUGCCUAGUCGUGCAGUGUCCUCUCUGGAGUAAAGUUGGAAGCAACUCAGCAUAUAACAUCGGUAUAGGAGGAAAAGUUGGUCUGGUAUAUUGCUGCUGUUGUUGUUGUUGUUGAACCGGCAACUGUUGUUUCAUCUGUUGGGCAAUUGCGUUGACGGGCACUUGAGGCUGGCCCGGUGGCAAAGGGUACUGAUGAUAAAAUGGCGGGAAGAAAGGAUGCUGAGAAUACGGCAUAUAUGGGUAUGACGGAGGCAUUUGAGCUGCAUUGAUAGGUGCAACAGUAGCCAUGGAUUGACCGGCUCCAGCUGACACCAUCCCCACUUCCGUUUCUUUCUUCUUGUGGUGUCCAUUACCAUACCUCUUCGAUGCACUCGUAGAAGAUUCAGCUUUCUCAAACACAAUGAUUCCAUCCCUGACUGCUUCCUCAAGACGGGUUCCUAUAGUGACCAUCUCCGAAAAGUUGUUCGGGGCAGCGAUGAUCAUCCUCUCAACGUAAUCUUUCUUCAACGUCUUUAAGAACGUCUGGGUCAUUUCUUCUUCAUCUAAAGCAGGAGUGAUACGGGCAGCUGCCCCUCUCCACCUUUGCGCAUAUUCACGGAAACUUUCCUCCUUUUUCUGAGAUAGGGACCUGAGGAACUCCCUAUUCGGCUUCAAACGAGUGUUAAACCCGUAGUGGCUCUUGAAAGCAGCUGCUAAUUCAUCAAAGGUAUGGAUGUCAUUCUUGCUCAAACUAGUAUACCACUCAGCGGCAUCCUCCAUCAAACUAUCCUGAAAACAGUGGAUCAUAAGGGAAUCAUUGUCUUUGUAAUUGCCCAUCUUUCGGACGUAUUUGAUGAUGUGGUUUUGAGGGCAAGUUAGCCCGUUGUACCGGUCGAAAUCCGGAAUUUUGAACUUUUUAGGAACAUCCACUUUUGACACUAAGCAAAGAUCUUGAGUUUUGAAAAAGUCCGCAUUCCCUCGAUUGGCCUUGAUCUCAUGACGGAGUUCUUUAGCAAGUUCCUCCAUCAUCUCUUCCAUGGUCUUGGUUACGGGGAUACUUCCGUGCUGUGUGUUGAUGUUAACACCUUGGGGCAGGGUAUGCACAAGAGGCUCAGUGACAGCCGCUGUUGUUUGUGGCAAAGUAGCAUUGAUGGAGGCAGCAUUUGUUGCAGAGAUCAGAACAUUGUUAGCAGUGCUCGAAGUGCCCGCUGCAGUACUGGGAGUGAAGAACGGUGGAAGCCCAUACGGAAACCCCACUGGCAUAGCAAAGCGAGUGUCCGCAGAAGUGGUUGGGAGCACGCUUGUAGUCACCGGUGCAGCUGUGGUUGUAGGGAUAGCUGUAGCUGAUUGCUCUUGAGCAGCUAGCAGAGCAGUCAUGACGUCAUUAGCUUUAGCCAAUUCUUCCCUUAGAGUGGCUAAUUCGGUGCGAAGCUGAGCGUUCUCUUCUUCCAUAGCCCUUUUCUUUCUUCUGUAUUCUCUGGUUCGAUCAAUUCUAUCAGGUUCGUAAAUCCUCUGAGCACGAGCCACUUUUCACACUGAGGCAAAGAAACCAGGAGAUAGUGAGCACUUGGAAGCCUUUGUGACCAAUGCAUGAUGCAUAUGAUGCAUGAUAUGCAAAUGCAAAUGCAAAAGACUUAUUUUUUCAUCGAAGGAAUUUUAAACAAAUUAGAAAUCUUGCAAAUAAUCAAAACUACAUAGCAUUCUCAAAAGAAAGACUUUGAAAUUUCAACAAGAUAAACGAAUGAGGCCCUCAAGCAUAGGAAGUAGUCGGAGCAUCGUCGGACUCGGAAUCUGAAUCACAGUAUCUGGCAAAGAAGUCUCGUCGUCCUCGGGCUCUCUUGGAAUCCCUCAUAAGCAGCUCGUCUUUCUCUUCCAAUUCCCUCCGGGCCUUAGCUAGUUCUUUCUUUAACAUUAGAUUCUCAUGAGUCUUCUGCUCAUCUCUACCAUCCAAAGUCAUGAUUAGAUUCUCGGCUUGAUUGUACCGAGCUUUCCAUACUUGCUUCUCACGACUCUCCAUAGCUAGAUGCUCCUGAUACAUAUCCUGAGUCGCGGGAAGUAGAGGUAGAGGCAUAGACGGAGUGGAUGAAGACACGUAUCUCAUAGCUGGAUAAGGCAUACCAAUCUCCUCAGCUCGAUCUAUCACCCACUGAGUAUAGGCCUCAUGAGCGACACCGGAUCUCACACCUAGAUGCUUCACACUCUUCCUUCGAACCUUAGACCAAGCAUCCAUGAAAGCUUUCCUUUGUCCGGUAGGAGCAUUCGUGUAGAAGAAGAACUCUGGAGAUGUAGCAAGAUUGAUGGGCUUCGACUUCAUAGGAAAACCAAACUGUCUCAUGGCAAGCUCGGGGUUGUAGUUGAUUCCUCCACGGGUACCAAGAAGAGGUACAUUGAGAAAGUCUCCACAACCCAUAAUGAUUUCCUUCACCUGAGCGGCCGGAGUGAGCCAGACGACCUCAUUAGGAGUGAGGGCCAUAAUCCGCUGCGAGUAGGACCAGUUUUCCGAGUUGUCAUGGAAGGAACUCGGAAGGUGCGAAAUAAACCACCUAUACAAGAGAGAUAUGCAGCAAAGAAUAUACCCACGGCCCUUGAGAGUCCUGUCAUGGAUGGCGUGGUAAGUAUCCGCUAGCAAAGUAGGAACCGGGUUCUUGGAAUGAAAGAUCUCGAUAGCAUUCAUGUCCACGAAGUCGUCGAGGUUCGGGAAGAGAAUGAGCCCGUAGAUAAGCAAAGCAAGAAUAGCCUCGAGUGUAUCCUGACGAGUAGUACCGAGAUUAGCCUGAUCAAGAAGAUACUUCGAAGUGAACCCCCGGAUGUGAGACUUGGUAAUAAGAUGGUUGGAGACGUCGGAAGUCUUGAGGUAGAGAUCCUUAGCAAUAACCAGAGGAGUAAGAGAAGCCCCGGGACCGGUGAAAGGCGUCUUCUCGGCUAUAGGUAAACCCACUAGAUUGGAGUAAGCCUCGAGAGUAGGAACCAACUGGAAGUCCGGGAAAGUGAAGCAACGGAAGCUCGGAUCAUAAAAUUGCACCAGAGUGUGCACUAGCUUCUCAUCUACAUCGGUUCGGAGCAAAGUAAGCAAUCCCCCAUAUCGGAGUCGGAACCCUGUUUGACUCUUGACCUUGAGUGCCAACUCUCUCAAACUAACCAAAUCCACUUCCUUGAACUUGUAGCACUUAGUCUUCUUCAUACCUGUGAUUAUUUACAAAAAUUUCCAUUUGUUUAAACCCUUCGAUGAAUGCAUGAAAAAUGUUUAUGCAUGAAUGCAUGUAUGCAUGAUUGUGUUGUUUAGUUACAAUGUGGGUUUGAGAUUCAAAGUAACGGGGCUACGGAUGGACACGGCGUCCGGUGAACUAAUGCUUUGGAUAGUAGUAACCAAGGUUCUAACACAGUUCCCAAACUGCAACCUCUCUCACAUAUAUCAUGGUAGUACAGGACGACACCCGUUCCAUGAUUAUUUGUGAGAAGGUCUAGUUUGAGUGUAGUAUCGCGUGACGACUAAAGUUUGAGACAACACUCAAUUUAGCCACCGCACUACGUCCUAAAAAGGCUAGGAUGGGUUUGGUAACUACGGUUCAUAGCUUCGUCGAACAAUUGAAAGUGAAGUGCCUAAGCAUGACAACACACGCCGACAAUAUCACCUUCAAAAUGCCUCAGCUAUGUGAGAUUGAUCGCAUAAUCCAAUACACGAGGCAACCCCCGGAUCGAAUUGUCGAUUAUAUCUCUACCUAAACAUAAGUUCACUCAGCCCGGGUAUAGGACUUUUGAUAUUCUCACCCCACACGUCAAAUGAAAAUAAACAAGUAUUCACAUAUGUAAGCAAUAAAACAAAGCGUAAAUAUAAACUAAGGAAAACUAGGCGCGACCCGCUAAAAAGAAUCCCCAGUGAAGUCGCCAUUUCUGUUAUCAUGGUUUUUGGGUGCCAAGCCAUUAAUUGGACUUGUACCUUUCGACCGUUGAUAUCCCUCUUUUUUCUUGGGAAGGGUAAAAGGAGAAAAACCCUUGAGUUUCCGAAUUCGGGGGUCAUUUUCGCUACGGGAAGGUGUUAGGCACCCGGAGCGAUUAUGGUAUUCCAUAAGAACCGCUUUCCUAAGUUUAUUUCUACGCUUUAAUUUUAUUGCUUAUUUAUAAAAAAAGGAAGGUGUGAUUAGUUAAGAAUGGAGGUGAGAAGAAGUAGAAUUUGAUUUUUAUUUCGGCUUGGAUGAGUUUUGACUCAUUGCCUACGUACCCUUUUAAGGGAUCAAAACCGUUCGUAGUUCAUUCUCAAAAAUGUUUUUUGUGUUUUUGUUGGUUGAUUUUAAGUUUUUAAAAAAGAUUUUGAAGAAAGGAGAUGAGAGGCCUCAAGGGCAUAAGGUUUGGAAAGUGUGAGGUGGGUUUAGUCAUUUUGCAAAAAUAAAGUCCAAGAAAGGUUAAGAUUCAUUGAAAGUUUUACUUAAGAAAAUAAAAGGGAAAAUAAGGAGUUUUGACUCCAUUUUAUUUUCAAAAAAAGGUUUUCAAGUGAAGUUAUUUGCAUGUUUUUUGGAAAAAAGUUGGAUUUUUAUCUAAGUGUUCAAACCUAAACGCUUAUCUAACCAUACAAUCCUAUGCAUACAUCUAAGGUGAGUGUGUGCGUGUCGGUGCGUCAUAGUGUCCAUAGUCCAUAUUACAGAAAUUGCCUAAAUACAUUCUAUGGCCCCUUUGCCAAGCUACAAACCAAUG